rnacentral:rRNA from 1 species
CCUACGGGAGGCAGCAGUCGAGAAUAUUUCACAAUGGGGGAAACCCUGAUGGUGCGACGCCGCGUGGGGGAAUGAAGGCCUUCGGAUUGUAAACUCUUUUCAUGUGGGAGCAAAUUAAAAAGAUAGUAUCAUAAGAGGAAGAGACGGCCAACUCUGGGCCAGCAGCCGCGGUAAUACAGAGGUCUCAAGCGUUGUUCGGAAUCACUGGGCGUAAAGGGGGCGGAGGCUGGUUCGUAAGUCGGGUGUGAAAGGCGCGGGCUCAACCCGCGUACGGCACAUGAUACUGGGAGACUUGAGUAAGGGAGGGGGAACCGGAAUUCUUGGUGUAGCGGUGAAAUGCGUAGAUA